ensembl:lncRNA
GAUGAAUUGUCAAGAAAUGAGAAAGACAAAUUGUGCUGCGACUUAACGACGAGGAGAAAGAGCCCACAUCUGAGAAAAAGGCAAGAUGAUGCCGUGUGUUUUAGAGGAAGGAAAUGAGAUGACAUCAACUCCAUUCAGUUAGAUCUUAAGCAGAAGAUCUGACAUUAUUAUGUUCUCAGAUCUAAAUGCAAAGAGAAAGCUGCUACAGAUGAAGUACAAAACGUGCAGCACGCAGCCAGCAUGGCAAAGUCGUUGCCAGGUAAGGAUAAAAGUAGGACAGCCGAAUUACAUAAAGCCCAGUUCUGGUCUUCGGCUGCUAAAGAAAGACGGAGUGUUCAGCAGCCCCUCCUGUGUGAUGGGAUAGAGCACAAGGAGUCAAACCGCCUCUGUAAUUCUGCUCUGGGAGCAAUGCAUUCCAGAGCUGCUUUCCUUUGAGUCGUGAAUAAAGAGCAAUCUUUAGGCACAUCCUGAGGACACUCGUCUACGUGAUCAAACAGCCCCAUAUCUGACAGAACGGUGUCAGUUCAGCUGAGGAGACAGCCGCACUCAGUAAGCUGACAGCAGCAAAAGGAAGGGGUCGUGGCAGGUCACUGCUUUCACAGAGAGACAAGGACUUCUGGAGCGCCACAGAUCCCAAUGCAUUCCCUUCACACAUCACAUUCCUGGGUCAACCUCCCAAAACAAGCAUAGCUGGAUGCGUGCAGACCUGCCUGGACUGUGCUUGCCGCUAGCUGGAGUGAUGGCGGGGAGGAGGAAGGAGGAAUUACCCUGGCGAUGUCAGCCGUGCUUCCCAGCUGCUGCAGUCCUCAGCUGACCCUUGCAGGCAGACACUGCGAGAGUUACACUGGAUUACAAAUCCCCGCUGCUCUUAAUCCAGGGGCAGACGAGGAGCACUGGUCCCCCGCAUGCUGGGGACUGCCUGCAUUCAUGAUUUUGUUGGACUGGGUGCUUAUUUAUAUACUCCUCUCCAAUUCCAUUUGCCUUUCUUUUAUCCCUGCAAAUUCUUGCUGUAUUGUUGUGUGGCAAUAUUAUUGCCUUUAAAAGUGGUAAUGUCUGACGACUUGAUUCUAAUGUUUUUACAUUCUUCUGGGUGGCUGGGGUUGUCCCAGGAAACCCCACUGUUCAGCAAGGCAUGGAGAUGUGUUUGCUUGGCUUGAAUAUCAAUAGAAGUUGAUGGCUCUUCCCUCUUCUAUUACACUCAGAGUGUGGUGAUGCACUGGAACAGGUUGCCCAGGGAGGUAGUGGAUGCCCCAUCCCUGGAGGCAUUCAAGGCCAGGCUGGAUGUGGCUCUGGGCAGCCUGUUCUAGUGGUUGGCAACCCUGCACAUAGCAGGGGGGUUGGAACUAGAUGAUUAUUGUGGUCCUUUUCUACCCCAGACAUUCUAUGAUUCUAUGAUUCUCUUUCCUUAGAGGGUACUUCCUUAUACCCUCAUCACUUUUCCUUUUUGGAUCUGUCUGGGAAUUCACGCCAUUUAUGCACAAUGCAUCCUUGCUUCAUUUUGGGGAAAGAGGAUGCAUUUCUCCUUGCCAGCACCGGAAUCUUUAUUUUCUAUAUUUAGCCUUCUAGGGAAAAGUAUUUAUACUAUCUACAUCACUUUCCUGCCAGUAGCUUGUUUUUCUGCACAUGUUUAUUAGACAUACAGAUACACCUGGCUGGUUGGAUCCCCUUCAUGUCACUUCUGCAUGCCGGCAAUGCUUCUGUGCAUUAUCAGAGCUGUUCAGUGACAGCAACAUGGAUCCAGGAGGAUACUCCAUUCCCUGCACUUGUCCCAUAGUAGACUUGGUCAAAUCAACCAAUAUGGGGGUAACAGCGCAGUGACUGGACCCAACCUGCAGGCUGUGGGACUCUAGUUGGACUAGAUGACCUUUAAGGGUCCCUUCCAACUCAAACAAGUCUAGACAAACAAGAUUCUGUGAAAAUAAUAGCAUGGUUUUGCUGAGUAUCAAAGCACAUUUCACUCUAUGUAUAGUCCUAUUAAAAAUCUAAGGUUUAUAUGAUAUAU